UCUCCAUCUUCGUGGUACUAGUAGUUUCUAGUAACAUAGAUUUCUCGGUUGGUUCCAUUAGAGGAAGACAAUGGAAGAGAGAGAAGAGAUUUUGGUGAA